GCAAACUUGGUCAUUUAGAGGAAGUAAAAGUCGUAACAAGGUCUCCGUUGGUGAACCAGCGGAGGGAUCAUUACUGAGAGUUACAACUACAAACCCUUGUGAACUAUCUUCGUUACUGCUUCGGCAGGUAAUCCCAGGGCGGGAUUCUGGGCUCCUUCGGGGGCACCUGCCAGCGGUACAAUUUUUAAACUCUGAAAUUACAGCGUAUUUCUGAGUGUCAAAGAAAAUAAAUCAAAACUUUCAACAACGGAUCUCUUGGUUCUGGCAUCGAUGAAGAACGCAGC
rnacentral:misc_RNA from 1 species